rnacentral:rRNA from 1 species
AACGCUGGCGGCAGGCCUAACACAUGCAAGUCGAGCGCGCCCUUCGGGGUGAGCGGCGGACGGGUUAGUAACGCGUGGGAACGUACCUUUCGGUAAGAGAAUAGCCUCUGGAAACGGAGAGUAAUACCUUAUACGCCCUUUGGGAGGAAAGAUUUAUCGCCGAGGGAUCGGCCCGCGUUAGAUUAGAUAGUUGGUGGGGUAACGGCCUACCAAGUCUACGAUCUAUAGCUGGUUUUAGAGGAUGAUCAGCAACACUGGGACUGAGACACGGCCCAGACUCCUACGGGAGGCAGCAGUGGGGAAUCUUGGACAAUGGGCGCAAGCCUGAUCCAGCCAUGCCGCGUGUGUGAUGAAGGCCCUAGGGUCGUAAAGCUCUUUCGCCAGGGAUGAUAAUGACAGUACCUGGUAAAGAAACCCCGGCUAACUCCGUGCCAGCAGCCGCGGUAAUACGGAGGGGGUUAGCGUUGUUCGGAAUUACUGGGCGUAAAGCGCGCGUAGGCGGAUUGGAAAGUUAGGGGUGAAAUCCCGGGGCUCAACC